rnacentral:rRNA from 1 species
UACGUAGGGGGCAAGCGUUGUCCGGAAUUAUUGGGCGUAAAGCGCGCGCAGGCGGCCGUUUAAGUCUUAUGUAUAAACCUGAGGCUCAACCUCGGGACGCAUGGGAAACUGGGCGGCUGGAGUGCAGGAGAGGAAAGUGGAAUUCCACGUGUAGCGGUGAAAUGCGUAGAGAUGUGGAGGAACACCAGUGGCGAAGGCGACUUUCUGGCCUGUAACUGACGCUGAGGCGCGAAAGCGUGGGGAGCAAACA